AAUGAAGAGUUUGAUCCUGGCUCAGGAUAAACGUUGGCGACGUAUUUUAUGCAUGCAAGUCGAACGGUUCUUCGGAACCGUGGCGAACGGGUGAGUAACACGUAGGUACCUGCCCAGAAGUGGGGGACAACCCUCCUAACGGAGGACUAAUACCCCAUGUGAUCCGCUUUGCGGAUGAAAGCCUUCGGGCGCUUUUGGAUGGGCCUGCGGCGGAUUAGCUUGUCGGUGGGGUAACGGCCUACCGAGGUGACGAUCCGUAGCUGGUCUGAGAGGACGAACAGCCACACAGGGACUGAGACACGGCCCUGACUCCUUAGGGGGGCAGCAGCAAAGAAAAUUGCGCAAUGGGCGAAAGCCUGACGCAGUAACGUCGCGUGGGGGAUGAAUGCCUUCGGGUUGUAAACCCCUUUUGUGAGUGAAGAAGAUCUGACGGUAACUCACGAAUAAGUCACGGCUAACUACGUGCCAGCAGCCGCGGUAAUACGUAGGUGGCGAACGUUGUCCGGAUUCACUGGGCGUAAAGCGCGCGCAGGCGGAUCGGAAAGUCGAUAGGUGAAAUCUCCAGGCUCAACUUGGAGAGGCCCUGCGAUACUCCCGGUCUAGAGGCACCUAGAGGAGAGUGGAAUUAACGGUGGAGGGGUGGAAUCCGUAGAUAUCGUUAGGAACACCAGUGGCGAAAGCGGCUCUCUGGGGGUGUACUGACGCUGAGGCGCGAAAGCGUGGGGAGCGAACGGGAUUAGAUACCCCGGUAGUCCACGCCGUAAACGAUGUGCACUAGGUCGGGGAAGUUCUGACACUCUUCCCGGCCGAAGCAAAAGUGUUAAGUGCACCGCCUGGGGAGUACGGUCGCAAGGCUAAAACUCAAAGGAAUUGACGGGGGCUCACACAAGCGGUGGAGCAUGUGGCUUAAUUCGAAGCAACGCGAAGAACCUUAUCCUGGGUUUGACAUGUAUGGAUUAACUCCCUGAAAGGGGAGCCACACCCUCGGGUGGAACAUACACAGGUGUUGCAUGGCUGUCGUCAGCUCGUGCUGUGAAGUGUCGGGUUAAGUCCCUUAACGAGCGCAACCCCUGUCGCUAGUUGCUAACACGUAAUGGUGAGGACUCUAGCGAGACUGCCGGUGUUAAACCGGAGGAAGGUGGGGAUGACGUCAAGUCCGCAUGGCCUUUAUGCCUAGGGCUGCACACGUGCUACAAUGGCAAGUACAGAACGACGCAAUACCGCAAGGUGGAGCAAAUCGCAAAAGCUUGCCCCAGUUCGGAUUGCAGGCUGCAACUCGCCUGCAUGAAGUUGGAAUCGCUAGUAAUC
rnacentral:rRNA from 1 species